UGCCAGCCGCCGCGGUAAUACGGAGGGUGCAAGCGUUGUUCGGAAUUACUGGGCGUAAAGCGCGUGUAGGCGGUACUGCAAGUCGGGUGUGAAAGCCCUGGGCUCAACCCAGGAACUGCGCUCGAAACUGCAGCACUAGAGUACGGGAGAGGGGUGUGGAAUUCCUGGUGUAGAGGUGAAAUUCGUAGAUAUCAGGAGGAACAUCGGUGGCGAAGGCGACACCCUGGACCGAUACUGACGCUGAGACGCGAAAGCGUGGGGAGCAAACAGGAUUAGAUA
rnacentral:rRNA from 1 species